rnacentral:SRP_RNA from 1 species
GCUGGGUGUGGUGGCACAUGCCUGUAAUCCCAGCUACUUGGGAGGCUGAGGCAGGAGAAUCGCUUGAACCUGGGAGGUGUGGAGUUUCAGUGAGCUGAGAUUGCACCACUGCACUCCAGCCAGGGUGACAGAGUGAGACUCUGUCUCAA